UCUCUCUUCUCCCGUCGUCUCUCCUCCUUGCAGACCGACCGAUCGAUGGCGGGGAACCCCGACAGGAGGAGGGUGGAAUGGUCACUAUGAUGUUGGCUCGACUCACUCAGACCACGCCUGCCGGCCGGCCGUAGCCAUGCAUCUGCAUGCGGUGGUGGCUCUGAUUGAGCCGUGCCAAUAUCUCAGUGCUCUUUCAUGCAUGCAUGCAUGUGCUCGCUCCUUGUGCGCCGUGGUGCCUAGCUAGCUGGCUCCUCCGCCAUGGUGCCAAUAUCUCAGUGCGCGCUUCCUCACCUGCAUGCGUUGCAAGUAUGAACCAUACGGCGCCUACGUAUCGGUCCGUUCACUGCAUGCAUCGUGCAACAUCCAUGCAAUGCGGAGGGGUUUUAUCAUCGGAUCUUGUGGCUCCUCCAGGGUUAACUCCCAGGAAGGGUUGGAGUAGGGCGGAGAGAAAUGCACAACGUGUAUCAAAGCUUCACCGCUUCUGCAGGCAUAAUCUGCCCACUGGAGGGCAAGGAAGUGGAGUAUCCUGAACUGAAGAUGAAGUUCAGCCUCGAGGCCCUUCAGAUGGUUGCAGUUUGAACGCAGCGAGGCACGCACUGUAACACCGAUGUAUCAAGACAAUGUUCCCAGGGGAAACAUUCAUGUAGUGUGUGUGA